rnacentral:rRNA from 1 species
UACGGAGGGUGCGAGCGUUGUCCGGAAUCACUGGGCGUAAAGGGCGCGUAGGCGGCGCGGAUAGUCGGCGGUGAAAGCCCGGAGCUCAACUCCGGGUCGGCCGUCGAUACUUCCGGGCUUGAGCACUGUAGAGGCAGAUGGAAUUCCGGGUGUAGCGGUGGAAUGCGUAGAGAUCCGGAAGAACACCGGUGGCGAAGGCGGUCUCUGGGCCGAUACUGACGCUGAGGAGCGAAAGCGUGGGGAGCGAACAGG